GACGAACGCUGGCGGCGUGCCUAAUACAUGCAAGUUGAGCGCUGAAGGUUGGUACUUGUACCGACUGGAUGAGCAGCGAACGGGUGAGUAACGCGUGGGGAAUCUGCCUUUGAGCGGGGGACAACAUUUGGAAACGAAUGCUAAUACCGCAUAAAAACUUUAAACACAAGUUUUAAGUUUGAAAGAUGCAAUUGCAUCACUCAAAGAUGAUCCCGCGUUGUAUUAGCUAGUUGGUGAGGUAAAGGCUCACCAAGGCGAUGAUACAUAGCCGACCUGAGAGGGUGCUCGGCCUAGUUGGGCCUGAGGCACGGCCCAACCCCCUGCGGGAGGCAGCCGUAGGGAAUCUUCGGCGAUGGCCGAAAGUCUGAACGAGGCGCGCCGCGUGAGUGAAGAAGGUUUUCGGAUCGUAAAACUCUGUUGGUAGAGAAGAACGUUGGUGAGAGUGGAAAGCUCAUCAAGUGACGGUAACUACCCAGAAAGGGACGGCUAACUACGUG
rnacentral:rRNA from 1 species